GACCGCGCCAGGCGGAAGCCCGGCUCCGGGCCAGCAUCCGAGAGCCCGGACUGGAGGUGAGUUCGCAGCCGGAACGUUGCAGGCACUUGUUUCCUCAGUGGAUGCCUUUCGGCGCGCCGCCGCCCGGCGCCGCGGGACUGGGAGACCGGGAUCUGAGAACAUAUUUCUUCCCUAUAGGAGUUGAGAAGAGGAGGAAGAAUAAUGGGAGGAGACAGGACCUUUUUCAACUUGACAAAUAGGUGGUGGAAUUCUGGAAACAUCCUGUGUUGAAGAGUCAACUUUUAUAACACUGUUACUGGGAAUACUUGACUUACUAAGCUUUUACUGAACACUUUAAUUUUGGGAGUACAAUUUCUAAACUCACGAAAUAAUCUUCAUGCAACAAGAUGUUAUUUUAUCAAAUUUUGGUAUUACAUGCUCAUUCUUUGACAAAUUUUAAUUAACAGGGAACCUGCCUAAAUUGUUAUGGUGGCACAUGUGACUGAUGGAUCUUUUGGAUUUGAAUGCCUGUUUCUGAGAGAGCAGACACCAUCUUAUUUCUGUUGAAUUGUAUUUAGUAACUCAAAAGGCAUAUACCAAGCUGUCAGAAGCAGCUUCAUUUAAAAGGGAUUAUAAUACCUACCUAUGACAGAGACUGCCAAAUAUACUCCAGUAGCCAUUCUGCUUUUCUUCUUUUCAGAAAUAAAAUUUCUAGUCCUGCCUGAAGUUUAAGCUAGCCCAUGACUACACAAGUGCAACUGUAUUUCCCAGGUAGAUGCCGGUAGAUUGGGCCCAGUAAGUUUGGGCCGUUGGGAUGUGAAAGGAAGAGAUGCGGGCAACUUUUUGGGUCAUCUUCUUAAAGAAAAAGCCAUUUGUCCUGGAUGCCCUCUUUUCUUUUUUCUCUUUGGCUGGGAAAUGACAAGAAUUAAAGCAGCAGCCUUGGAUCCAGAGAUGGACGCCAAUUGAUGAAGACAGCAGAACUGACUGGCUAGUCUGGGUUCCCUGGAGCAGAGCUGUCUCUCCACCCUAGGUUAUCCACUUACUUUUGUACUGUUAUGUGAGAGAGAAAUAAACUUCUAUCUUCUUUAAG
rnacentral:lncRNA from 1 species